UACGGCUCAUCUUCUCCGCAUAUUCCAACAGCCGCAGCUCGUGGUCCGACAGCAGGCUUUUCUCCAGCUCCAUCUGAAAUUAAAUUUUGCCUGAGAAUGUACAAAAAUAUGUCAACUCAAAUUCAUAACAGAUCAACUUCUGACACACCAUUUCAAAUAGCACAAAAUCACCUGCUGCAUCAUGUGUUUGAACUGCUGCUCUAUCGGACUGCAGUCCGCUGAAAUGACCGGGAGCCUCUGCAAG